UAUGGUUCAUGUCAAAAGACCGAAUGGCGGGAGGCCGCUAGGAAAAGUACCUCAUUUUUAAUAAGCGACUCAUUACAACUGCUUAGUAUUUGCAAUCAGAUCAGAGAUUAAAUUGACAUAAUGUUCAAAGGAUUUAGUUCAGGGUCUGGUCUGAUUCCAGCUUCCACAAGUUUUGAGACAGGUGAGUUUCCUUCAGCGGGAUGACAGUGGGACAGGCCGGCGCACUGUGAAGGGAUCACUGUGAUGGAGGACAGCAAAACCAGCCAGAAUCGGUGCAAGGAAGAAGCAAGGAAGCAUCGACGGUGAGUGAAGGAGGCGAGGCAGGGGUCUCCUCAGAUCUCCGCGCUGCAUCAGUAACAGAGUAAAUCUGCGCCACUGUGGAAAUGAACGCUGGCGUUAGGAGCUUCUUUAGUCUGCUGCUAAUCACACACUUUAGCAGAGCCCAGAAAAUCAGUGAUGACUCCAUCAACACCCCCCACCCUCCUGUGCUGUUCAGCAUCAGCCCCCAAUCCUACAUCAGCUUCCUGCUGCUGGGCCUGACCGUCGUCGUGUUCGGCGGCGUCUAUCUCUGGAUCCUCAGAUACGUCUGCAUCGGCUGCUGCCAGCCCAUCACAGUGGGCGUUGAAUCAGAAGCCCUGGCAGGGAUGGUGUGAAGUCAUCGGCCCCUGUCUGAUUGAGUUGGGCUGUUACCAAGUCACACAGGACAUGUACCUCGGUUUUACAGGUAAAAGACUUGGCCUAUCCGACUUGUCAUCAAUUUUGCAAAAGAAAGUAGGUGUCAGGGAAGAUAACUAAGUGUGUAGUCAUUUGUGCUCCCAUAUAAGUUUUUUUUUUCAAGUGCGGUUCCAGAGCGCUCAGUGACAGUGUCAAUGCUGGAAAAUAAGAAAGUAGGAGAAAAGUAGUUCUUUUGCUCUUACUUCUACACCCUGCUUACCUGAUAUCUGGCAAACAUCUGUUGGACACUGCCUGAAAAAUCGCUAAAAAGCUACUGAGCAGUGAACGUGAGACACAAUUGUAAAGCUGGGUGGCAGAAAUUUAAGAAAAAGUUCAGCUAAUAAGCUGAUAAAAUGCUUUGUAUCUUUGCUUUAGGGUUUUCUUUGUAGUUUAUUGACUGUUUUAUUUCGAAACCCUUUUUUCAUGGUUUCUUUUCUUACUUCCUGCCUUUCUCCUUCACAAGUGGGUUUUGUGUGUAACAAUUAGCCAUUUAGUGUAUUUAUAAUGGCGUCCCCCUUUUCUGCUGUCAAGUUAGUUUGUGUCUAGUUUUAUUUGUUUUGUUCCUGGGUAUCUGUCUCAGCUUCAGCAUUAUGUUAAAAACAAUCCAUAAAAACAUACUACAGUGUCUUCUUUUAAAACAAAGACAUUUUCUAUUAUUUUUUCUCCAUAUAUUCCACUCAACUGGUUAUUUUUGAGCAUUUACACACUUUAUGGGGAAAAAAAUUACCAGUUGAAGUUUUUGUGAAAGUACAGCCUGUUGAUUUCUCUGCUCGUGGCAUUUCUGCUCAGCUGAAUGACACAAAUAAAUCUCCUUUUCUUCUUCAAUCUUGCCUUGUGUUAUGGGGCCUGUGUAGGGUGACCAGAUCACAGUCUAAAAGUAAAUAUAACAAAAAUAAAGAGAAGCUGAAGUUUGUUCUUAUUGUCUAUAUUAUCUGUUAAUUCUUCCUCCUCCUGGAGGAGGAGGAGUAUUUAAUCUGUUCUGUUUGUUAACAGUCUAGCAUGCAAUCGGAUCUAGGUCACAAUAAAUGUGAAAAUCUGAAAAAACUUUAUAUUACUCAAAUUUUUUAAUGGAUGGAUCUUCUAACUUCACAACAAUAUGCUAGACCUUGGUGGACAUUAAUACCUUGGCUGGCUAAACAUUUGACUUUGACCUUCAUUUUUAGUGCCCAAAUUUGAAGAAACCAUAUCAAGUAAUCUGUCAUAUUAAAAGUACAGAAAACUUUCUUCUUUUAUUC
ensembl:lncRNA